UGAGGAAUUUUGGACAAUGGGCGAAAGCCUGACGCAGCAACGCCGCGUGGAGGAUGAAGGCCCUUGGGUUGUAAACUCCUGUCGGCUGGGAAGAACUCGUACGAUGCUCAUACCAUCGUGCGUUGACUGUGCCAGCAAAGGAAGCCCCGGCUAACUCUGUGCCAGCAGCCGCGGUAAUACAGAGGGGGCUAGCGUUAUUCGGAAUUAUUGGGCGUAAAGGGCGCGUAGGCGGCCUUGCGUGUCUUUCGUGAAAUCCCUCGGCUUAACUGAGGACGUGCGGAAGAAACUGCAGGGCUUGAGUCCGGGAGAGGGGGGUGGAAUUCCCAGUGUAGCGGUGAAAUGCGUAGAUAUUGGGAGGAACACCGGUGGCGAAGGCGGCCCCCUGGACCGGUACUGACGCUGAGGCGCGAAAGCGUGGGGAGCAAAC
rnacentral:rRNA from 1 species